rnacentral:lncRNA from 1 species
AUUACUACAAGAUUUUAUGAUUCUUUCAUCUUCCCAUUUGAUUUGUAUAUUAUGUUCGUAUAACCUUUCUGCUAACUCUUGAUCCGGUGGCAGGUUGUUGAGCAAACUAGUGUUAAAAGAAAUAAAAGUGACAUAACAUUGAUAAAAAGACAAAAAGUAUCAGUAGAUAUUAAAUUGGAUUGAACAAGAGGACAUAGUUUUAACAAGGGAAGAUAAAAUGAAGAAAAUAGUCAUCCUAAGACGAAUGGAGUAUAAUGCGAUGCUUGAAGAAUAUAUUAAGAACUUGGGAGCAAUAGAACUACCAUCUGAUCCAACAAACAAAUUAAAGGGAAAAAUAGAAAAACUUGCAAAGAAACAGCAUUUUCCGCAAUGGUUAGCCUUUAUAAAUGGAUUCCUAAUCCCACUUGUCCUAGGCUCUUCGGAUAUAUCAAGAAGCAUAAAGAUCCAAUAGCUAUCCAUCCCAUAGUCAAAAAAUGCAGGUUGCCACUUAUAAAUUUUGAACAUGCCUUAGCCAAUUGGUGUCUUAACAAGCUAGGAGCUUAUUUUUAUUUCUUAAUUUUCUUAGUAGUCAAGCAGUAUAGAAGAUAGAUAUUAGAUUUAGUAUUAGUAAUAAGUAGGUUGGCAAUUCUAUAUUAGGCAGU